rnacentral:tRNA from 1 species
GGAAGGGUGCGAGAGUGGUUUAAUCGGACGGUCUCGAAAACCGUUUGCCCCGCAAGGGGCACGUGGGUUCGAAUCCCACCCCUUCCG